GCGACCUUAGGUCAGGCGGGG
rnacentral:rRNA from 5 species